rfam:Triticum aestivum genome assembly, contig: Triticum_aestivum_CS42_TGACv1_scaffold_129697_2BL
GUAGUACUCCCUCCGUCCGGAAUUACUUGUCAUCAAAAUGGAUGAUAUUGAAUGUAUCUAAAACUAAAAUACAUCUAGAUACGUCCAUUUCAAUGACAAGUAUUUUCGGACGGAGGGAGUACAUU